rnacentral:rRNA from 1 species
GAUGAACGCUGGCGGCGUGCUUAACACAUGCAAGUCGAACGAAGCACCUCUCCCGAAGAUUGACACAGCUUGCUGUAGAUUGAUUCAUUUGAGGUGACUGAGUGGCGGACGGGUGAGUAACGCGUGGGUAACCUGCCUCAUAGAGGGGGACAACAGUUGGAAACGACUGCUAAUACCGCAUAGUAAGAAGAAUUCGCAUGUUUUCUUCUUGAAAGAUUUAUCGCUAUGAGAUGGACCCGCGUCUGAUUAGCUAGUUGGUAAGGUAACGGCUUACCAAGGCGACGAUCAGUAGCCGGCUUGAGAGAGUGAACGGCCACAUUGGGACUGAGAUACGGCCCAAACUCCUACGGGAGGCAGCAGUGGGGAAUAUUGCACAAUGGGGGAAACCCUGAUGCAGCGACGCCGCGUGAGUGAAGAAGUAUUUCGGUAUGUAAAGCUCUAUCAGCAGGGAAGAUAAUGACGGUACCUGACUAAGAAGCCCCGGCUAACUACGUG